ACACUUUCUGUUUGCGUUGAUGAGAUGGUACAGCAUAGUGACAUAUCCACAGAAAUCCUGCAAAUCCACUUUGCUCCUUAAUAUUUUCAAUGCUUUAUGGGCACCCAUACGACACAAGCAAACCCUCCUUGUGGUUUUAUUUUAUCAAAUGGAAAAGAUUUCUCUCAUCCCAUCAUUCAACAUUGUAAGCACAUGUGAAGCAUGAAUUACUUCAAGGAUCAUAACUCCAAGACAUAAUAAUAAUAUAGCAAGAAUAACAAUGGUGAAAUAUAUCUUGACAGUUUUUGAGAUCUUGUACCUUUGGAAAGUAAAAGAAACGGGGAUAUGACUUCUGGGGAUGACUUCUGGAUAACUGGUCUAAUAUGCUGAGGAGCUCUACUCUGAUGGAUUUGGAUUCAUUGGUGAGAGGAGCCAUGAAACAAGCAAUAUACAAUUCUUGUUUAGAACUCUGCUGCAAGUCACAGGUUCCAAAUCAAGAAGGCUUUCACAGUGUAAGAUACUGAGAAGAAAACCACAGUUGGGUUGUUUUGGUUGUGUGACCACAUCACUGAGACACAGACACAGUGUUGUGCUUUUCAGAGUAAGUGCCUGAUCAAAAUUUCUCUCUAUUCUGUACUUCUUUUUCACCAGUGUUUUGAACGUUUUGUAGGUCUUUAAAAAAGUUGUCCAGAUGCUCAUAUGAAAAUUUGCAAACUUUUGGUGAAAGAUUUCCCAUCAUUAAACCAGCAAGAGUAGCCAGGCAUGGUGGCUAGCACCUGUAAUCCCAAUGACUUGGGCAGCUGAGGUGGGAGGAUCACUUGAGUCCAGAAAUUCAAGACCAGCCUAGGCAACAAAGCGAGCCCCUGUCUCUAUAAAAAAUUUUAAAAUUAGCUGGGCCUGGUGGCAGGUGCCUGUAGUCCCAGCUACUUGAGAGGCUGAGGCAGGAAAAUUGCUUGGGCCCAGGAGUCUGGAGGCUGCAGUGAACCGUGAUCACGCCACUGCACUCCAGCCUGGGUAACAGUGAUACCCUGUCUUAAAAAAAAAAUCUGUUUACAGACUGAAGCAACCCUCCCGCCUUAGCCUCCUAAAGUGCUGGGAUUACAGGCAUGAGCCACCACUCCCAGCCUAAAGUAAACUUUUAUUGAAGUAAAACACAUAUAAAACAGUGCACAAAUCCUAAGUAUACAGCAUGAAUAACUUUUAUAAAGCAAACAUCCCUGUAUAAUGAGCACACAUGAGGAAACAUUACUAACACCCAGAAGUGAUCCUUUGUGUCUACCAUCAGUCACUAUUCACCCAAAGAAUAACCAGUAUCCUGAUUUUUAACACCAAAUAUUUGUUUUACCUGUUCUUAAACAUUAUAUAAAUGGAAUGAUACUAUAUGUACUAUUUUGUAUCUUUCACUCAACGCUAUGUGAGAUUCAUCCAAGUUACAUAAAAUUGUAGUUCUUUAAUUUUCAUUCAAAAAUAGGCAGAGGCCUUAAAUAGACAUUUCUCCAAAGAAGAUAUGCAGAUGGCCAAUAACCACACGAAAAGAGCCAUAGCAUCACUAAUCAUUAAUCAAAAUCACAAUGAGAGACCACCUUACACCCAUUAGGAUGGCUACUAUCAAAAACCAGAAAAUAAGUGUUGAAGAGGAUGUGGAGAAACAAACCCUUAUACACUGCAGCUGGGAAUGAGAAUGGUCCAGCUGCUAUGGAAAACAGUAUGAUGGUCCCUCAAAAAAUUAAAUAUAGAAUUACCCAUACCAAGUGAUUCCAUGAUUCCACUUUGCACUUUGGGUAUAUACCUAAAAAAAUGGAAAGGAGGUUUCUUUUUUUUUUUUUUUUUUUUGAGACAGAGUCACGCUCUGUCGCCCAGCUGGAGUGCAGUGGUGCGAUCUCAGCUCACUGUGAGCUCCACCUCCUGGGUUCAAGCAAUCAAGCGAUUUUCCUGCCUCAGUCUCCCCAGUAGAUCUUUAAGUCUGCAACCCAGACAUACUGACAGCUGACAAUCCCUUGGAUGUACCUUGAAUGUUUUUAUCUUGUUUCUGGGCCUUUGCACGAACCAUUCCCUUUGCCUAGGAUGACUUUCACUUCACUUUCUUUACCUGCAUAACACCUACUUGACCUUUAGGUGUCUUCCUCCAAGAAGCUUCCUGGCCCCCCAACCACGUCAGAUGUCCCUUAUCUGUGUACCUGCUCUUGGGUGCUUUGUAUACAUCUCUAUUUGUAGCUUUGAUCACCCAGUAUGGUGACUGAUGGUUUGCAGUUUGUCUUUCCUGCCCCACCAUCCUCCACCCCAGUGAGCUCCUUGAGGACAGGACUGGUCUUGUUCACCCCAGCACCUAACAUAACAUAUGGCUUACAAUGUAUGUACAAUGAAUAUUUUCAUUCAUGUAGCACACUGUGCUUUUCAAAGUGCCCUGAAACAAACUCAUCUACAGAGCUAUAAUAAUAUUUCCUUACUUAACAUUCAUUCCUUCUGAAUAAAAUAUUCUUUUAAAAAAUAUUACCAUUACUUAGAACAUUUAUGUGAAUUAUCCAUUAUGUCACAAAUGGGACUGAGUCAGGACUCUAACUAUCUUAUUUCUGCCUGACGUAGUAGAAGAGUUUGAGAAAAAGCAGAUUUCUUUUGAAUCACUUGACUGGAGGUGGUGUCUCUAGGAGUGUGGUGGGGAAAUGGAUGCACAGAACUUAGAAACUGGCCUCAGCUGGUAAUCUGACCUUCUCAUGAAUUCACAUCCCUGGUUUCCUGGAAGCAUAAAUUGAGGCCAGCGUUGAAAAGGUGUUCACACCGUAGCCUGGGAGAAACUGUCUCUCAGUCCUUGGAAUCACAGAACUAAAGAGCUUCAGGUCAUCUGGUUGAAUCUCUGCCUUUAAGAAGUGGGGAAAGAGACUGGGAGCAGUGGCUCACGCCUGUAAUCCCAGCACUUUGGGAGGCUGAGGUGGGUGGAUCAUCUGAGGUCAGGAGUUUGAGACCAGCCUGGUCAACACAGUGAAAACCCCAUCUUUACUAAAAAUACAAAAACUAGCCAGAGUGUGGUGGCACGCACCUGUAGUCCCAGCUACUCGAGAGUCUGAGGCAGGAGAAUUACUUGAACCUGGGAGGUGGAUGUUGCUGUGAGCCAAGAUUGUGUUAGCCUGGGCACAGAGCAAGACUUUGACUCAAAAAAAAAAAAAAAAAAAAAAAAAACAGUGGAGAAAGAGAUCUAGUAUUUUGGCCUAGAAACCUCACAAGACUCACCAAUCUCGUUUUUCUUUCUCCAAAAGGCUAGACUUGGCAGUUAGUAGGCUCCUGAUCCCAGUCAAAAUAUCUCUUAGAAUAUUUUAUCCUCCCUUUCUCAGAAUCAUCACCUGAAUAGCAUCCUCUGGGUAGGUGGUGUGUUAAUAUUGCCAUAUGGAAAUUCAUGGAAGAUAUAGUUCCUGGCCCUAGAAACUUACAAACUGAGACCAGGAGUUUGAGAGUGAUUUGCACAUGUCAGUCAAGUCAAAAGAAAGAGAAACUCUUUUUUCUUUUUUCGUUUUUGUUUUUUGAGAUGGGGUCUCACUCUGUCACCUAGGCUAGGGUGCAGUGGUGUAAGCUCGGCUCACUGCAACCUCCGCCUCCUGGGCUCAAGUGAUCCUCCCACCUGAGCCCCCCGAGUAGCUGGGACCGCAGGCACAUGUCACCAUGCCUGGCUAAAAAGGGAAACUUUUAAUUUAAUUCAAUUCAAUUUAAUUUUUUUUUUUGAGACAGAGUCUCGCCUAGGCUGGAGUGCAGUGGUGUGGUUUUGGCUCACUGCAACCUCAGUCUCCUGGGUUCGAGUGAUUCUCUUGCCUCAGCCUCCCGAGUAGCUAGGAUUACAGGCACCCACC
rnacentral:lncRNA from 1 species